rnacentral:rRNA from 1 species
UCGGGAAUUUUGGGCAAUGGGCGAAAGCCUGACCCAGCAACGCCGCGUGAAGGAUGAAAUCCCUCGGGAUGUAAACUUCGCAAGAAUGGGAAGAAUUAGCGAGCGCUAACACCGUUCGUGAUGACGGUACCAUUUGUAAGCUCCGGCUAACUCCGUGCCAGCAGCCGCGGUAAUACGGGGGGAGCAAGCGUUGUUCGGAUUUACUGGGCGUAAAGGGCGCGUAGGCGGCCAGCGCAAGUCAGUUGUGAAAUCUCCGGGCUUAACUCGGAAAGGUCAACUGAUACUGCGCGGCUAGAGUGCGGAAGGGGCAACUGGAAUUCUCGGUGUAGCGGUGAAAUGCGUAGAUAUCGAGAGGAACACCUGCGGCGAAGGCGGGUUGCUGGGCCGACACUGACGCUGAUGCGCGAAAGCCAGGGGAGCGAAC